AAGUGUCUAAUCUAAUUUAACCUUGGCAAUUACUUGAAUUCAAUCACGUGGUCAAUAAUUAUAGCAUAGAGCACAAUGUGGCCUACUAAGUCUGUUCAAAGAAUAGAUACUAUAAUAUGUUUGCUGCCCAAUUAACAAUACAGUUUAAGCAAAAACUGCUUGAUUGACGCAUUGUUAAGCAAUUUGACGCUGUUAUGACAACGGUUCGGUUCGUUAGUUUGGGAAGUGUACCGGAAUCAAAUGGCAAUCAUCUGCUGAGAGUCUGCACUGCACACUAAAGCCAAUGGAACUAAACACUUAAACUGAAAGAUUUGCUCUAGUUACACUUCGUAGAUGCUUGGAAUAGAUUUGAUUUAAUCACAAAAACAUCGAGGCAACGCCAGCUGAACCACAGAUUCCUCUCCCACACAGUGCUAAACCCGAGGAACAGGUGAUUCA